UACAGAGGUCUCAACCGUUGUUCGGAUUCAUUGGGCGUAAAGGGCGCGUAGGCGGUCGUGCAAGUCGGAUGCGAAAUCUCAGGGCUCAACCCUGAAACUGCAUUCGAUACUGCGUGGCUAGAGUGCUGGAGAGGAGACUGGAAUUUACGGUGUAGCAGUGAAAUGCGUAGAUAUCGUAAGGAAGACCAGUGGCGAAGGCGAGUCUCUGGACAGCAACUGACGCUGAGGCACGAAGGCCAGGGGAGCAAACGGG
rnacentral:rRNA from 1 species